rnacentral:rRNA from 1 species
AGAGUUUGAUCCUGGCUCAGGAUGAACGCUAGCGACAGGCUUAACACAUGCAAGUCGAGGGGCAGCACGGUGUAGCAAUACAUUGGUGGCGACCGGCGCACGGGUGAGUAACGCGUAUGCAACCUACCUAUCAGAGGGGAAUAACCCGGCGAAAGUCGGACUAAUACCGCAUAAAACAGGGGUUCCACAUGGAAAUAUUUGUUAAAGAAUUAUCGCUGAUAGAUGGGCAUGCGUUCCAUUAGAUAGUUGGUGAGGUAACGGCUCACCAAGUCCACGAUGGAUAGGGGUUCUGAGAGGAAGGUCCCCCACACUGGUACUGAGACACGGACCAGACUCCUACGGGAGGCAGCAGUGAGGAAUAUUGGUCAAUGGGCGAGAGCCUGAACCAGCCAAGUCGCGUGAAGGAUGAAGGAUCUAUGGUUUGUAAACUUCUUUUAUAUGGGAAUAAAGUGAGGAACGUGUUCCUUUUUGUAUGUACCAUAUGAAUAAGCAUCGGCUAACUCCGUGCCAGCAGCCGCGGUAAUACGGAGGAUGCGAGCGUUAUCCGGAUUUAUUGGGUUUAAAGGGUGCGUAGGUGGUUAAUUAAGUCAGCGGUGAAAGUUUGUGGCUCAACCAUAAAAUUGCCGUUGAAACUGGUUGACUUGAGUAUAUUUGAGGUAGGCGGAAUGCGUGGUGUAGCGGUGAAAUGCAUAGAUAUCACGCAGAACUCCGAUUGCGAAGGCAGCUUACUAAACUAUAACUGACACUGAAGCACGAAAGCGUGGGGAUCAAACAGGAUUAGAUACCCUGGUAGUCCACGCAGUAAACGAUGAUUACUAGCUGUUUGCGAUACACAGUAAGCGGCACAGCGAAAGCGUUAAGUAAUCCACCUGGGGAGUACGCCGGCAACGGUGAAACUCAAAGGAAUUGACGGGGGCCCGCACAAGCGGAGGAACAUGUGGUUUAAUUCGAUGAUACGCGAGGAACCUUACCCGGGUUUGAACGCAUAUUGACAGCUCUGGAAACAGAGUCUCUAGUAAUAGCAAUUUGCGAGGUGCUGCAUGGUUGUCGUCAGCUCGUGCCGUGAGGCGUCGGCUUAAGUGCCAUAACGAGCGCAACCCUUGCCUUCAGUUGCCAUCAGGUUAAGCUGGGGACUCUGGAGGGACUGCCACCGCAAGGUGCGAGGAAGGGGGGGAUGACGUCAAAUCAGCACGGCCCUUACGUCCGGGGCGACACACGUGUUACAAUGGCAGGUACAGAGGGGUGCUACCGGGUGACCGGAUGCCGAUCUCGAAAACCUGUCCCAGUUCGGACUGGAGUCUGCAACCCGACUCCACGAAGUUGGAUUCGCUAGUAAUCGCGCAUCAGCCAUGGCGCGGUGAAUACGUUCCCGGGCCUUGCACUCACCGCCCGUCAAGG